GGACUUAGCAUUAUACAUCUCUAGGACUGCUGUUAAAAGGCAGGAGCAAGACAUUCAGGUGUGGGGGAUCAAUGAUAAGGGGUGUUUCUCAGUGAAAUCAGCUUAUGCGAGCAUAAGAGGCGAUGGCACUCGCAUUGCUGUUUUCGACCUUCUUUGGAAGGCCAAGGCCUUUCCCUCUGUCCUGAUCACUGCAUGGAGGUCCUUACUGGAUAGAUUACCAACUAGAGAAUGUCUGAGUAGGAG
rnacentral:lncRNA from 1 species